rnacentral:rRNA from 1 species
UACGGGGGGAGCAAGCGUUGUUCGGAUUUACUGGGCGUAAAGGGCGCGUAGGCGGUCAGCACAAGUCAGUUGUGAAAUCUCCGGGCUUAACCCGGAAAGGUCAACUGAUACUGUGCGACUAGAGUGCGGAAGGGGCAACUGGAAUUCUCGGUGUAGCGGUGAAAUGCGUAGAUAUCGAGAGGAACACCUGCGGCGAAGGCGGGUUGCUGGGCCGACACUGACGCUGAUGCGCGAAAGCCAGGGGAGCUAACGGG